GAUGAGGAUGAGGAGUCCAAUCAGGUUAGAUCCUCUGAGAGCGGGUCUGAACUGGAUAGGUUAGGUUCCAGCACCGGUAUCAGGAUCUUAGAAAUACUGAGCCAAACAACGCCGCUGUCUUCGAGGUCCCUGGGUUCACCAGAUUCUCCAGAGACGGAACCAGUUUGGAGAGUACCACUAACUAUUCCAGGAGCUGCAUCUGGAUGACGGUCGCCUUAAGCGGUACUUUCGUCUAUCCAAGACGCAGUUUGAGGACCUGCUGCCCCGCGUUGGGAGAUGAAUCAGCCUCCGGGACACCAACUACAGGCGCUGUAUCCCUGCUGCAGAACACCUGUCCAUCUGUUUUUGGUACCACAUCAUCCUCUUUGGUGAAGGAGUGCUCUACUACCUGCCCAAAGUCACAUAAGGUUCGGGUAGCCAGAAUGGUGGUGGUGGAGACAGGGCAGGAGUCCUAGUCGACAUCCAGCCUUCCAUUGCUGUCCCACUUUGCCUUUUCAACCCCAUUAAUAACGCUGCAACUCAUAUGUGAUGGAGAGUUCAAUGUUUGUGUUGGGUCAUCGUCCAUUUUGUGAGCCAAACGAACUACUACGCAGCCCAACAGGCAUCACGGCUCUGACUUCACAGG